GACGAACGCUGGCGGCGUGCUUAACACAUGCAAGUCGAACGAAGUGGCGAACGGGAGAGUAACGCGUAAUCAACCUGCCCUUCAGAGGGGGACAACAGUUGGAAACGACUGCUAAUACCGCAUAAUGAAGGAGGGGUUUGCGUUUGAUUAGGUAGUUGGAGGGGUAACGGCCCACCAAGGCGAUGAUCGGUAGCCGGGCUGAGGUGAUGAACGGCCAGAAUGGGCCUGAGUCACGGCCCAGACUGCUGCGGGAGUCCACAGUGGGGAAUCUUCCGCAAUGGUCGAAAGUGUGACAGAGCAACGCCGCGUGAGUGAGGACGGCCUUCGGGUUGUAAAGCUCUGUUAAUCGGGACGCGGUACCGGAAUAGAAAGCCACGGCUAACUACGUGCCAGCAGCCGCGGUAAUAC
rnacentral:rRNA from 1 species